GCGAUUGUGAUGUAACGGCUGCAUGGCGCGCUUCCAACGCGCUCGUGGGGGUUCGAAUCCUCUCAGUCGCACCA
rnacentral:tRNA from 1 species